AUUGAACGCUGGCGGCAUGCUUUACACAUGCAAGUCGAACGGUAACAGGCCUUCGGGCGCUGACGAGUGGCGAACGGGUGAGUAAUGCAUCGGAACGUGCCCAGUCGUGGGGGAUAACGCAGCGAAAGCUGUGCUAAUACCGCAUACGAUCUGCGGAUGAAAGCGGGGGACCUUCGGGCCUCGCGCGAUUGGAGCGGCCGAUGUCAGAUUAGGUAGUUGGUGGGGUAAAGGCUCACCAAGCCAACGAUCUGUAGCUGGUCUGAGAGGACGACCAGCCACACUGGGACUGAGACACGGCCCAGACUCCUACGGGAGGCAGCGGUGGGGAGUUUUGGACAAUGGGCGCAAGCCUGAUCCAGCAAUGCCGCGUGCAGGAAGAAGGCCUUCGGGUUGCAAACUGCUUUUGUACGGAGCGAAAAGGCUCCCUCUAAUACAGGGGGCUCAUGACGGUACCGUAAGAAUAAGCACCGGCUAACUACGUGCCAGCCGCCGCGGUAAAAC
rnacentral:rRNA from 1 species